GAUGAACGCUGGCGGCGUGCCUAAUACAUGCAAGUAGAACGCUGAAGGAGGAGCUUGCUCUUCUGGAUGAGUUGCGAACGGGUGAGUAACGCGUAGGUAACCUGCCUGGUAGCGGGGGAUAACUAUUGGAAACGAUAGCUAAUACCGCAUGACAACAGUUAUUGCAUGAUAACUGUUUAAAAGGGGCAACUGCUCCACUACCAGAUGGACCUGCGUUGUAUUAGCUAGUUGGUGAGGUAACGGCUCACCAAGGCGACGAUACAUAGCCGACCUGAGAGGGUGAUCGGCCACACUGGGACUGAGACACGGCCCAGACUCCUACGGGAGGCAGCAGUAGGGAAUCUUCGGAAAUGGACGGAAGUCUGACCGAGCAACGCCGCGUGAGUGAAGAAGGGUUUCGGAUCGUAAAGCUCUGUUGUAAGAGAAGAACGAGUGUGAGAGUGGAAAGUUCACACUGUGACGGUAUCUUACCAGAAAGGGACGGCUAACUACGUG
rnacentral:rRNA from 1 species